rnacentral:rRNA from 1 species
GACGAACGCUGGCGGCGUGCCUAAUACAUGCAAGUCGAGCGAACUUUUGGGAGCUUGCUCCCAAAAGUUAGCGGCGGACGGGUGAGUAACACGUGGGCAACCUGCCUAUAAGACUGGGAUAACUUCGGGAAACCGGAGCUAAUACCGGAUAAUUCUUUUCUACUCAUGUAGGAAAGCUGAAAGACGGUUUCGGCUGUCACUUAUAGAUGGGCCCGCGGCGCACUAGCUAGUUGGUGAGGUAACGGCUCACCAAGGCGACGAUGCGUAGCCGACCUGAGAGGGUGAUCGGCCACACUGGGAAUGAGACACGGCCCAGACUCCUACGGGAGGCAGCAGUAGGGAAUCUUCCGCAAUGGACGAAAGUCUGACGGAGCAACGCCGCGUGAGUGAUGAAGGUUUUCGGAUCGUAAAACUCUGUUGUUAGGGAAGAACAAGUACCAGAGUAACUGCUGGUACCUUGACGGUACCUAACCAGAAAGCCACGGCUAACUACGUGCCAGCCGCCGCCGUAACAC